GACGAACGCUGGCGGCGUGCCUAAUACAUGCAAGUCGAACGCUUCUUUCCUCCCGAGUGCUUGCACUCAAUUGGAAAGAGGAGUUGCGGACGGGUGAGUAACACGUGCGUAACCUACCCAUCAGAGGGGGAUAACACUUGGAAACAGGUGCUAAUACCUCAUAACAGUUUAUGCCGCAUGGCAUAAGAGUGUUAGGCGCUUUCGUAUGUCGCUGAUGGAUGGACCCGCGGUGCAUUAGCUAGUUGGUGAGGUAACGGCUCACCAAGGCCACGAUGCAUAGCCGACCGGAGGGGGUGAUCGGCAACACUGGGACUGAGAAACGGCCCAGACUCCUACGGGAGGCAGAAGUAGGGAAUCUUCGGCAAUGGACGAAAGUCUGACCGAGCAACGCCGCGUGAGUGAAGAAGGUUUUCGGAUCGUAAAACUCUGUUGUUAGAGAAGAACAAGGACGUUAGUAACUGAACGUCCCCUGACGGUAUCUAACCAGAAAGCCACGGCAAAUUACGU
rnacentral:rRNA from 1 species